UUCCAAAGUUGAAGCUUGCAAUACGCUGUGGUUUCCUUCGUACAUCUACUCGAGGAAGAGUCAUCAUGACGGAAAGCUGAAAUAAUUAGGUGAGCGAGCGAUUGGUAAGUGUCGUGCGAGAGUUCUUUGUAAAAGUAGUCAGCAUCCUCCUGCAACACUCUUUAGGUCCUCCAAUUGUCACCCAACGUGUAAGUUGUCCUUCAUCGUUUCAUGGAGAUAUCUUGGCUAUGGCUCAUUGCAAUAAAAAUGCGAGUAAAUAUGCAUGAUGAAGUUGGAGCUGCUUCAUUAGCAGACAACGAACAUAGCAUACUAAGAUUCGUUGAAUCUCAUUCUCUGAUGUUCACGAGGUGAUCCAUAUCCUCCCAACCUCAAUCCCUUUCUGAUUGAAUCUUAAAUUAUUUUUGUAUUCAAUUGCAGAUUGUUGGAUGCAGGGGCACAUCCAUCAUUGAAGUUUGAUAUCCAACUACAGGACAAGGAUUAGAAAUUAUUUUCAACAUCUUCAGAUAUGAAGUGGCCAUGGUUAAAUUCGUGGCUACGAAGAACCACAAACAACACGCACACAGUCGAAAGCCACCAGAGAACAAGUUCUCUUGAAAGUCUUCUAAGGUUGAAUGAAAAUUGCUAUCUUAGCCUUCAAAUUACUAAUUGGAAUCCAUGACAUGGCAUGAGAAUCCCAAGUAGAGCUCCGAUGUUUGACUGCAGAGCCGAUGACGAUCUCUAAGUCAGUGGGAGAUAAGAAGGCCACCAAUCGAGCUACGGGACAACCGGCAGUGGUCCUUUAGUUGAUGUGACACUAUCGACCAUAGUAUCUACGUGUAAUCAUUUGAACACUCCAGAAAGGCGAUCUCCAAACUCAUCCCCGCAGUGCAGGCGGAAUUGCCUGAGGGGGAGGAGGUAUCUGGGGAAUGUUCGACAAAGUAGUGCAAGCCUUGCGUGAGCUACUUAUUCCUCCAACAUAUGAUUUCAGCGACAAGUGAGUUCUGCAAUCAGCACUUCAUACCCUUCAUCAUCUCCCUCGAUCGCCCAACUGGUCCAACAGAUCCCCGAUUUGGCGUUCAAAAGCACUACCCCUGUACCUGAGGCGCGACUGACAUCCACAACAUGGACCGUCAUCCUCUAAAUUAAGAACGCAGAUUGAACAGCAUGUGCCACGCUUUUCCAGCAACCUAGACAGACAUGUCUACCGCAUCCGAACACCAGAUCCAGCUCAUGGGUCACGAGCCAACCCCAUCCACAGUCUGCAGCACAGAAACAAAUCCUCGAGCUAAACGAACGCGAGCAUUUUCGCAAAAAGUCUCUCAAUAGUCUCAGAUGCAACCAGCAACCCUCCCGGAUGCAUCUAGUUCAGUCUUUCUCACUGCUUCAAAGCUGGACCCAAUUCUCCACGCACCAGUUCUGUUUCACCAAUCAGUUGCAACCUCUCACGAUCACGCGUCACGCUCAAUCAGAGCGAGACAACGCAAACGAAGGUGGAACUGAAGCCCCCGAAAGUCCCAGAUCCGGUUCUUAAAAACACAACAUAAGGUGGCGUGGCUCGAAUGGGUGAGUGUAGCCGGGAUUUUCAGGCAAUCUGUAGUCAUAGCGUGAACUAGGCUCUGGUCUCCUGGGGGAUGGCCACCAUGAUGGAGAC
rnacentral:lncRNA from 1 species